rnacentral:rRNA from 1 species
UACGAAGGGGGCUAGCGUUGCUCGGAAUCACUGGGCGUAAAGCGGCACGUAGGCGGAUUGCUAAGUCAGGGGUGAAAUCCUGGAGCUCAACUCCAGAACUGCCUUUGAUACUGGCGACCUUGAGUCCGGGAGAGGUGAGUGGAACUGCGAGUGUAGAGGUGAAAUUCGUAGAUAUUCGGAGGAACACCAGUGGCGAAGGCGGCUCACUGGCUCGGUACUGACGCUGAGGUGCGAAAGCGUGGGGAGCAAACAGG